GCCCGCCUAGCUCAAUCGGAUAGAGCGUCAGACUCUUAAGAGUCACCCAUGGCGGCACAGAAAUCUGAAGGUUGCGAGUUCGACCCUCGCGGUGGGCU